AGUGAACGCUGGCGGUAGGCCUAACACAUGCAAGUCGAACGGCAGCACAGUAAGAGCUUGCUCUUACGGGUGGCGAGUGGCGGACGGGUGAGGAAUACAUCGGAAUCUACUUUUUCGUGGGGGAUAACGUAGGGAAACUUACGCUAAUACCGCAUACGACCUACGGGUGAAAGCAGGGGAUCUUCGGACCUUGCGCGAUUGAAUGAGCCGAUGUCGGAUUAGCUAGUUGGCGGGGUAAAGGCCCACCAAGGCGACGAUCCGUAGCUGGUCUGAGAGGAUGAAGGGAGAGACUGGAACUGUGGCACGGUGCAGGCACCCACGCGCGGCCACAGCGGGGAGUAUAGGGAAGAGGGCGCAAUCCUGAACCAGCCUUGCCGCGUAAGUGAAGAAGGCCUUCAAGUGGUAAAGUCCUUUUGUGUACAAAGAAAAUCAGCAGGUUAAAACCCCGCUGUUCUGACGGUACCCAAAGAAUAAGCACCGGCAAACUUCGUG
rnacentral:rRNA from 1 species